UCUCAGGUUUAACCGAAGCAAAAUAUUUGACUUAUUUUGACGGAUAAAAUUUGAUCAACAUGUACUGACGAGAUAAAGGAUAGAAGAUGGGAAGAGGUUUUGGCUGUCUUAUAUUUUGAAUGUACAAGAAUUCUCCUCUAAUUCUACAUCUAGCUAGUUGGACAGACCUGUAAUGUAUCACGAAUAACUGGAUAUUUUCGCCUCUAAUUGGACAUUUUUGUAAACAUGCAUUGUGCAAAUUUCUACAACACGAUAAAUUUUUGGGAGUGCACGCGCAGCCAUGUUGCAACAAGCGAUACAGACUAAAGCGAAGACAGCAUCUCUUUCGGGAAAAACGCAGCCUGGACGAGAAAGAUUGUGAGGAGACGGAGCGGCUUCAUCGUUCUUGAGAGUAGCGGAAGAUGGACCAGGUGGAGCAGAACUUGGAAAGUAUCGGUGCAGUCGGGAGUUGAAGAACUGCAGCUGUGAAGUGAGUGCAUUGAUGGAACAAUGUUGUGAAUCAGAUCCAAGGGAUGUAGCAUCAUUGUAAAUAAAUAAAUAAAUAAAUAUACACAAAAGAACACGGAAGAGAAGAAUCAAAUGGAGAAUGUGCCAUUCCGAGUGUUCGUUUGCAGUACUUGGCGCAGUCUAAACAACCAGACAUUUAUUUCGCAGCCAACGUGGUCAGUUCAAAUCCGUUGCGGCAACUUUACAUCUGAUGCAAUUGGCGAACAAGGAAAUCGGAUAUUCCUUCAAAACACAAAGAUAUAGAUAGGCCCUAUGGAUUCAAUAAUUUACGAGGGGGAAUGUAUGAAAGUAAUAAUUUAUGGGAUUAGAAAGGAUAUAGUCCAAAUCCAAUAAUAACCCUUAGUUUUGCACCAUCAAAAUAAUUAAUCAGAUCUAGUCAUAGAAUGUUGAAAUAGGACGAAUUGAUCUCGAAAUAUGCGAAAAGCUAAAAUACAUGACAGUGGACUAAAAAACUAAUUUAAUGUAGACAUUAGGGUGCCAAUGAAAAUGGUCAUCUCGAGUUUCAAUAAGUUACCCCAUAAAAAAUGUUUACCACCUCGAAAAAACACCCUAUGCCAAAUAUCAGCUCAAUCGGACUUAAGGGAGAGUGGCGCAAAGCGGUCAAAGUUUGAGUUUUUUGAAAAUCUAUUUUGUAACUUUUUUGAAAUUUUAGGGUAGAUUUCUUCCCAUACAUUCAUUGGCACCCUAGUAGACAUAUGUCUUUUGAAAUUUUACUGUAGAACAUUAGUGAAAGCUCUAACAUCUUGUGCCGAAUCAGCACUUUUUUUCAAGAAACAGAGUUAUGUGGAAUUAUUUCUACUCUAUUGACGUCUAAUACUCAUAUACAGGUCGGACUCGAUUAUCCGGGAUUCGAUUAUCCGGAAUUUUAGACUCGAUUAUCCAGAGUAUUUCAUUUUUUGAUUUUUCUUAUUUUUAGAUCGGAAAUUUUUAAUAAUCAAUAUGGGUAUCAAAUGAAAGGAAUUGACUAGUAGAACACAGUUAUUUAUGAAAAAAGUAAAUCCAAGAUGACGGACACAACAAAAUGGUGGAUUACAUAUUUUCUCAGAACCCCAUCAAUAUGUAUAUCAAAUGAAAGGGAUUUACUAGUAGAAUACAGUUAUUUAUGAAAAAUGCGAAUCCAAGAUGGCGUCAUAUAUAUUUUUUUCACUACCCUAUCAAUACGGGUAUGAAAUGAAAUGGCUUGACAAGUAGAAUACAGUUAUUUGUGAAAAAUGUAAAUCCAAGAUAGCGGCCACUACAAAAUGGCGGAAAACAUAUUUUCUCUGAACCCCAUCAAUAUGAAUAUCAAAUGAAAGAGAUGCAAAAAAUACAUAGUUGACCGUUUAGUGGCGGCCAUUUUGGAUGUGUAUUUUUCAUAAAUAACUGCGUUCUUAUAGUUAAGGCCUUUCAUUUGAUACCCAUAUUGAUUGGGUUGUGAAAAAAUAUAUAUGGCGUCAUCUUGUGGUAGCGACCAUUUUGGAUUUGCAUUUUUCAUAAAUAACUGUGUUCUACUAGUCAAUCACUUUCAUUUGAUAUACAUAUUGAUGGGGUUCUGAGAAAAUAUGUAAUCCACCAUUUUGUAGCGGCCUCCAUCUUUUAUUUACAUUUUUCAUAAAUAACUGUGUUCUACUGAUCAAGCCAUUUCUUUCGAUACCCGUAUUGAUGGGGUUUUGGAAAAACCCAUAUUGAGAGAAUUUUGAGAAAAUUUGUAAUACGCCAUUUUGUACCGGCCGCCAUCUCGGAUUUCCAAUAUCAUGGAAUACGCAGUUUUAUAAUGAUAACCCUCAGUUUUACACCAUCAAACUAAUAAUUCAGAUCUAGUCAUAGAAUGUUGAAAUAGGACGAAUUGAUCUCGAAAUAUGGAAAAGCUAAAAUACAUGACAGUGGACUAAAAACAUAAUUUAAUGCAGACAGAUGUCUUUUGCAAUUUCACUGUAGACCAUUAAUGAAAGCUCUAACAUCUUGUGCUGAAUCAGCACUUUUUUUCAAAAAACAGAGUUAUCUGGAAUUAUUUCUACUCUAUUGACGUCUAAUACUCAUAUACAAGUCGGACUCGAUUAUCCGCGAUUAUCCGGAAUUUAAAGAUGUGUUCCAAGUUUCAGAUCAAUCGGUCAACAGGAAGGGGGUUAAAAUUAUAUUAAUAUGGUACAGCUCUACAGCCAAGAUUACAAAUUUACAAAGUUAUAAAGUCUCAAACAUACAAACGGGUCAAGCUAGAUGAAACCGUUUAAUAAAUAAGUGCAAACCAUAAUUAUAUUACGUUUACCGAGAGAAAUUUGUUUUUUUUUUGACUCGAUUAUCCGGUGUGAAAAAAAAAAAACAAUACUCCGGAUAAUCGAGUCCGACCAGUACUCUAAUUCUAAGUGUGCUAUUCAUUAUAAAAUAUUAGUAGGCUUUGAGAUGAAUUGUAAAAAAGAAAGGCAGAAUAAAGAUAGUUCCGGAAGUGUAAGACGUGUUCAGUGAUUGGGAAACCAAAUCUCCGAAUAUUAUACCUUAUCCGAAUCGGGAUUACCACAUCUGGCGACGAGGAGCGGAAACGUACUCUUCGCACUUUAAAGAAAAUAGGCAACAGCCGCUGCAAUAAGCAGAAAAAGGUUAUUUCCGCUGCUGUAGAGCAGGGACAGGCGUCGAGCCGCUGCUUGAAAUCAAGGCAUUAGCCGCUGCGUAAAGGCAGAAAAAAGGCGUGUUAGCCGCUGCAUGUGAGCAGAAAAGAACAGAAUCCGUUGCACGUGAGCAAGGAAAGGCGUGAAGCCGCUACCUGAAGUAGAAAUAGGCUCAAGCCGUCGAUUUGAAUUGGAACGGAAAGCAUACAAUCCGUCGCCUACUGAGCGUUUCUGAUGGAGAGUUGGAACAUCAAUCCCUUCAAAUUCAGUCAUCUUCCAGAUUCGCAAGUUCGUAAAGAAUGGUUGCGAUGGAAACUAAAUUUCGAAGUAAUCGUCGCUGCUAGUGAAGAGAAAAAUGCUACCAAAUUGAAAAUCUUUUUACUGGCGAAAGGCGGACUCGAAUUGCAGGACUUGUUUUACUCGAUCGAUGGCGCAGACGUUGAAGGAGAUGCUGAAAAGGGAAUAGACCCUUUUAAAACAGCUAUUGGAAAGCUAGAUGGACAUUUCUCGCCGAAACAGCACGAUUCGUUCGAACGGAACGGGUUUUGUAAAAUGGUUCCAACGAUAACUCCGGAGGGAACAAGUGAGCCAUUGACCAAGUUUUUGAUGCGAUGUACCGAAAAAGCGAAAAGAUGCGAUUUUGGGAAAACAGAAGCAGAAAGUCGAGAUUUGCGUGUUAUCGACAAAAUUAUUUACCACGCACCGGCUGAGUUGAGAGAACGAUUACUCCACGAAGAAACGCUUACGUUGUCACAAGUAUCCAGGAUUAUGACUUCGUUUGAAUCGAUUAAACAGCAAGUUCAAGCAAUUGCUGGAAAUGGUAACGGUGAUGUAAUGACAGUUCAACGUAUGAGUCAAGAUAAUGUGAAUCGUAUAUAUGUAAGUGGCAAGCCAGCGAAUGGAUGUUGUUAUCGAUGUGGACAAAGGAACCAUUACGGAAAUGAUCAACAGUGCCCAGCUCGUAAUAAAAUUAUGUAAGUUUGGACAUUUCGCUCGAGUGUGUCGGUCAACGACGAAACGUAGGUAUGAAGAUCCAAUUCCAUAUCCAGCUCGUAAGAAAGUUAAAACAGAUAAUGUACGAGCGAUAUCAACAACAGAGAAUGGAAAUAGUUCGAGCUUCAUUUAUAAUAUUGGUGAUGGAGAUGAAUUCCUUUGGGUUAACGUUGGAGGUGUACUUAUUAAGAUGCUAAUUGAUUCCGGUAGGCACUUGGCAAAGCAUGCUUGAGCAAGGAGUUAAAAGCUGAAACCGAAACAAGUCCCAAAUACGAUUCUGCGUGCGUAUGGCCGUAACACGAAACCCUUAGUUGUGUCACAUGUUCACAUGUUCACAGCAUUGUGUCAGUUGGAGCGAGACGUUUUCCGAAGAUAAAAAAUGUUCAGCUGAUUAUUCCAAUCAACAGAGACGUUGCUCCAAUAGCUCAGCGAGUCAGACGUCCUCCGAUUGCACUCCUGAGUCGAAUCGAAGAGAAGCUGGACCAAUUACUCGUAGCAGAUAUCAUCGAACCUAUGUCAGGAGCAGCGCCAUGGGUUUCACCGUUGGUAACCAUUGUCAAAGAUAAUGGAGAUCUUCGUCUUUGCGUAGAUAUGCGGCGUGCCAAUCAGGCUAUCAUGAGAGAACAUCAUAUGAUGCCCACGUUUGAAAGCUUCCUUCCAAGUUUGAAGACAGCCAAAUACUUUAGUCGGCUUGACAUCAAGGAUGCAUUUCACCAGAUUGAGUUAGCUGAAGAAUCACGUUUUAUUACAACCUUCAUAUGUCACAAAGGGUUGUAUAGAUACAAAAGACUUAUGUUUGGCAUUUCUUGCGCUCCAGAAAUGUUCCAAAAAACUAUGGAGCAAAUUUUGGCCGGGUGUAAAAAUGUCAUUAAUUGACGACAUUUUCAUUUUCGGAGAAACGGAAGAAGAGCAUAAUAUUGCUCUAGCCAAAGUUCUAUCCGUAUUAAAAGAUAAUAACAUUAUGCUGAAUCAAGAUAAAUGUAUAUUCAAAGUCCAAAAACUCGAGUUUCUUGGUCAUGUUAUUUCAUCUGAAGGAAUAUGACCAACUGAUCAGAAAAUUCAAGCUUUAAAAAAGUUUCGUGAACCUCGUACCUCAGACGAAGUGAGAAGCUUUCUUGGUUUAGCUACAUAUGUUGGAAAAUUCAUACCUGAUUUAGCAACAAUCACUGCUCCAUUGCGAGAACUAAUCUGCGUUAACAAACCAUUUAAAUGGACGGAUGAACAUCAAAGAAGUUUUCAGAAGCUAAAACAGUUGAUAUCGAAUGCUAGCACUCUUGCUUUCUUUAAUGAUUCUUUCCGCACAAGGGUUGUAGCUGAUGCCUCCCCGGUUGCUUUGGGUGCAGUUCUUGUACAAUUUGCAGAUCACACUGAUGAUUGUCCACGUAUAAUCAGCUAUGCUAGUAAAAGCUUAACUGAUACUGAAAAACGUUACUGCCAAACGGAGAAAGAGGCUUUGGCCUUGGUAUGGGCAGUAGAAAAAUUCUCAGAAUAUUUGAUUGGCAGAAAAUUCGAACUGGAGACUGAUCAUAAACCACUUGAAGUAAUUUUCAGUCCAUCAUCCACGCCGUGCGCAAGAAUCGAACGAUGGGUCUUGAGAUUACAAUCGUUUAGAUUCACGGUGAAGUACCGUAAAGGAAGCGGAAACAUUGCAGACUCUUUGUCUCGGUUGGUUUGCUCGGAUGGUGCUGAUGACUUCGGAAAGGACAACAAGUUCAUGAUUUUGGCAAUUCAAGAAUCUGUGGCGAUAGAUGUUAACGAAAUUGAGGAAGCUUCACGUGAUGAUCCAGAGAUUUUUGCAGUAAGAGAAUGUCUUCGUGCUGGAAUCUGGAAAACCCCAGUAACAAAACACUUUGAACCAUUCCAAAAUGAGUUAGGUUUUAUAGGAGAUAUUAUGAUCCGAGGUAAUAAACUGGUGGUUCCCAAGAAAUUGAGGGAACGGAUGUUACAGCUGGCACAUGAAGGUCAUCCCGGAGAAUCUGUUAUGAAGCGACGGUUGCGAGAUCGAGCAUGGUGGCCUUCAAUGGAUCGUGAAACAAAGGAGUACUGCAAAGCAUGCGAAGGUUGUCAGUUGGUUGGUUUUCCGAGCCGACCAGAACCAAUGAGCAGGAGAGAAUUACCCACGAAGCCGUGGGUUGAUAUCGCCAUUGACUUCAUGGGUCCCCUUACUUCAGGUGAACAUCUACUGGUAAUUAUUGACUAUUUCAGUAGAUACAAGGAAGUUGAAAUCAUGAAUCGCAUCACUGCUUCUGAAACUGUUGAGCGCCUAAGCAAGAUUUUUACCCGCUUAGGAUAACCAAAAACCAUCACGCUGGAUAAUGCUAAACAAUUUAUUGGCAAAGAAUUUGAGGAAUAUUGUAAGAUUCAUGGUAUUAUUCUAAACCAUUCAGCCGCAGGAAAACGGUUUGGUGGAACGACAAAACAGGUCACUGCUAAAACGAUUGCAGAUUAGUUACGGACUUGGCAGAGACUGGAGAAAAGAUUUGAAAGACUAUUUAAUCAUGUAUUACACAACAGUUCAUUCCACAACGGGUAAAACACCAACAGAAUUGUGUUAUCAGAAGCAAGUUACCAGCCAUUGAUGAUAUUGAGACAACUCCACCUGCAUCUGACUACCGACAUCAAGAUUUUUUGAACAAACAUAAAGGAAAGGAGCGAGAAGAUAUGCGACGACAUGCGAAGACUUCUAUUAUCAGCGAAGGGGAUACUGUACUCAUGAAGAAUCUAACACCAAGAAACAAAUUAACAACAGCAUUCAAUAAAACCAAAUUUACCGUAUUGGAUCGGUCAGGACCAAGAGCAACUGUUGUAGACCCGAAUUCUGGAGUAACAUAUCAAAGAAAUGUCGCUCACCUGAAGAAGAUCGUUAACGUGCCUGAAACUUCGACAGAGGAACAAAUAAAUGAAAACGAUCCUGAAAAGUCAAUAGACGAAGAAGAGGAUUUUGCAGGAUUUGGCGAUGAAGAAAAUGAAACUUUCAACACUGGAUUUGCUCCUUUGCUUUAGACUAGUAAUGAAUACUAAUGGUGUGGUUGACGAACUUUUUUAAAUGAUCAAACAUUGUUAAUUUUAUAAAAUUUCAAGAAAAGGGAGAUGUGCUAUUCAUUAUAAAAUAUUAGUAGGCUUUGAGAUGAAUUGUAAAAAAGAAAGGCAGAAUAAAGAUAGUUCCGGAAG